CGACCCCAGGUCAGGCGGGAGCACCCGCUGAAUUUAAGCAUAUCAAUAAGCGGAGGAGAAGAAACUUACAAGGAUUCCCCUAGUAACGGCGAGCGAACCGGGAUCAGCCCAGCUUGAGAAUCGGACGGCCCUGCCGUUCGA
rnacentral:rRNA from 1 species